UUUCUGUAGUGUAGUGGUUAUCAUGUUUGCCUAACACGCAAAAGGUCCCUGGUUCGAGAAAAAAAGAAAA
rnacentral:tRNA from 1 species